CCCGACAGUCUGGAAUGCUUCCCCCAACCAUCCAUCAUCGAACUCAAUUAUCACGGUCACGGGGGGUGCUGGAGCCUAUCCCAGCUUGCAUAUUGGGCGGGAGUCACGAAUACACCUUGGACAGAUUGCCAGUCCAUCGCAGGGCGCUCACCCUAUUUAGUCACGCACUCAUACCUGGAGUAAAUUUUAGAUUCUCCAAUUAACACGACCUGCAUGUCUCUGGACUGUGGGAGGAAACCAGAGUGCUCGGAGGAAAGCCACGCGGACACAGGGAGGACGUGCAAACUCCACGCAGCAAGGCCUCGGCCAGGAUUCGAACCCAGGACCUUCCUGCUGAGAGGCGACAGUGCCGCACCACUGUGCCCCCCACGUGCGUCCCCCUCCUGUCCUGUUUCAUCUAGUGCUCCUUCCCCAAGUCUGGCCAGUGCUCGUCUGCUCUUAGCCACAGCCUCCUUCUUUCAUGUGCACUUAGAGUGCCUGCACACCUCAAGCGGCUGGUCCCUUUCAGCUGACUCACAGAGGCAGACAUAUUUUGAUGCUCGGAUUUGUUUUCCUGUUUUCCUGUUUUCUGCAACAGUGAAUAAAUAUGCAAUAUGCAACAACAAAAAAAGAGAUGGUUAGUGGCCUGUCACUGGUCCGUCUGUAAACCUUAAUUUCAAACUGGCACACUGCCAAGUUGCUGUCAAUGACAUCACAGUACCUUCUGCUGGAACCAAAUAAUUUCUACAAACACAAGUAACUAAUGCAAGUAGAUGGUAAGAAGCAAGUAAGUAUAUAGAUAAUGGGAUGGGGGGGUGGGUGUGAGUAUAUCCCACAUUGACAGUCUGGAGUCCACUAAGACCAAUGUUCCAAAAAUAAAAAUCAGUUCACACUGGUCCACCCAAAAAAAUGUGCGGCCACCCAUUUUACUGAAAGCUGUCAAAAUUUUAACAAUUCCGGGCACACCGUUCAUUAUUAUGGGUGCCAUUUGUAUAGCGCCUUUCAUCUCAUUAUCUCAAAAUGCUUUACAGUGAAGAGGGAUUAAACCACCUGGGUGAUGCACGGCAGCCAUUUUGUGCCAGAAUACUCGUCACAUAUCAGGUGAGGUGGGGAAGUAAUUACAGUCACUUACUGCAGCAGUUAAACUGGGGGAUUAUCAGAUUGACAGGCUGGCAGAGCUCUGUAGUUGACCUGGAGAUUUUCUGCCAAUAUUGUGAUUGAUUUGAGGGCUCAUUUAACACAAUGUUGUGAGUUAAUGCUGUCCUGUUGCUUCAUGUUCUCCUAGUUUUAAACACUGUACAGAACAGAUAGGGGAGAGCGCUUGUGCUUAACUGUGUGUGUAAUGCACUAAUGCCUCUUCCUGGUGGAGCUAAUAAAGCCCAAAAAUCAUGUACAUUAAUUUGGCCACUAUGUGCCCACUAAUUAAUGAAUUGUUAUUGUGUAUAUUCAUCAUGAUGCGUGUGAUGAUAAUAUGUGUAAAAGAUGACUGUAAUUAAAUGAAUAAAUUCUGUACAGUGUUGCCUCUGUCAGGAGGCAACAGGCAGAAGUAACAACUGUUAGAGUUGAUUUAACACUGCUGGGGUUGAUUUUGUAGUUCUAGGGCUGAUUUAGCACUGCUGGGGUUGCUUUUGUAGUGCUAGGGUUAAUUUAACGAUGCCAUGGUUGAUUUAGCACUACUUCUCCUUGUUCAGCCCUGCUAAGCUUGAUUUGGCACUGCAAGGAUUAAGCACUGCUAGGGUAGAUUAAGCACUGCUAGGGUAGAUUUAGCACUGCUAGGGUAGAUUUAGCACUGCUAGGGUACAUUAAGCACUGCUAGGGUAGAUUAAGCACUGCUAGGGUAGAUUAAGCACUGCUAGGGUAGAUUUAGCACUGCUAGGGUAGAUUAAGCACUGCUAGGGUAGAUUUAGCACUGCUAGGGUACAUUAAGCACUGGUAGGGUAGAUUUAGCACUGCUAGGGUAGAUUAAGCACUGGUAAUUUGGCUAUGCAGAGAAAAGGGAGCAGCUGCUUACUUUCAUCAACCACAUUUAAUAACAGGAAGUCAAAUAUAUAGAAUAGCAGGUCUUAGUUCUGCUGUUCAAAUCUUAAAUAUUACUACUUUUAUCUCAAAAUUUUAUUUGGGUGUGUUUCAGACGGCUUUCUCUUGUCCUGAUAAAUAUCCAUACUUAUAUGAAGAUGCUGAUUAAUAUUUUCUGGAAUAAAAAUUUAAUCUGGAA